rnacentral:rRNA from 1 species
UACAGAGGUCCCAAGCGUUGUUCGGAUUCACUGGGCGUAAAGGGUGCGUAGGCGGUCGGGUAAGUCUGAUGUGAAAUCCCGCAGCUCAACUGCGGAAUGGCAUUGGAUACUAUUUGGCUAGAGGGUUGGAGGGGGGACUGGAAUUCUCGGUGUAGCAGUGAAAUGCGUAGAUAUCGAGAGGAACACCAGUGGCGAAGGCGAGUCCCUGGACAACUACUGACGCUGAGGCACGAAAGCUAGGGGAGCAAACAGG